UACACACCGCCCGUCACGUCACGAAAGUCGGCAACACCCGAAGCUCAUGGCCUAACCCGCAAGGGAGGCAGGCGACCACGGUCGGUUCAGCGACUGGGGUG
rnacentral:rRNA from 1 species